ensembl:snRNA U6 U6 spliceosomal RNA
AUGCUCGCUUCGGCACCACAUAUACUAAAACCAGAACGAUAAAGAGAUGAUAAGCGUGGCCCCUGCACAACGAUGACACACAAAUUCGUGAAUCAUUCCAUAUUAAA